GUGGAAAGCUUCAGAGAUAACUAAAGGGCUUAAGACUGGAAACUGAAGAACUCAGAAGCUCAGGAUCUCAGAGAGGAUGCUGACUGGUGAUGUCUGACCCUCGUUAAGUGUCUGGAUUUGGUUGUGGAUCUUGGGGAGAACAGCACCCUCUUGAAAGAGCUAGAGCCAUAUUCCUGUAGUCCUCCUAAUGCUCUCUGCCUCUCUGAUGACCACUGGUUUGAAAUGCCAAGUUAUCCACUUCUCCACGGCAAUAUUUAUAUUAUCCUACUGAUGUUAACCAGACCUGCUACUCACAAGUCCUCUCCCAAUCCCGGCCCAAUUUAAGGUUGCUUCUGGUGAAGAGAGUCACUUUGAGAAGGCUGGAACUGAUUGCUGCACUCGCCUCUGACCACCCAGCUCACCUGUGACCACCCAGCUCAAGACAACAGACGUGCCACCCUGCUGUGUCCACCGAGACAGCAGAUCUACCUGCUGUUUCCAUCAAUUGCUGUGCCGACAGAGCAGCCUUGCGAC
rnacentral:lncRNA from 1 species